UCUGCUAUAAAGCUGUUGCCAAGUCAAGUCCUCCAGCCAUUAUGUCUAAUGUUACCAUUACUGGCCUGCUCUUGCCGAGUGCUUAAAAGAUGGAAAUAUGCCCGUGAGAAUUGCUGCAGAAAGAUGUGCUUUACAUGCCUUCCAAUUGACGAAAGGUUCAGAAAAUGUUCAAGUAGCACAGAAAUAUAUCACUGGCUUGGAUGCAAGACGUUUGUCAAAGCUUUCUGAAUAUAGUGAAGACAGUGAAGACAGUGAAGAAGACAUGUCAAGUAGCUGAGCAGCUUACUUUUCUACAGGCGCUGUGUUCUUUAAUAUCAUCAGGGUGUCGACUCAUUGUAGAUGGCCGACCAAUUUUUUCUGGGUGCGCUAUAGUGGCAAAAAUCAGUAUGCACAGUUGAGGCUUGACACCCAAUUUUGCCUUUUUGUUUGUUUUUUUUUGGGUUUUUUUU